GCCUGAAUUUACAAGAAAAGUGUCAAGUUGAGGAGACUACAGCACAUCAAGCCUGUGGACGCACAGACAAGAAGUGUUACAUGGGGAACAUCGGGCUCACCCAACGAGAAGCAGUGCAUGAUGAGCACCACCCUCUGCAAGCAGAUUUGCUCUCUCACUCUGGGGGUUUCUCGGAGUGCCAGAUGGAAUCAAGCAGUAGGAAACUGAUGCCCACCCUAGCUGGAGGACCCUAGAUAGCAGCGUCAGCCCUUGGCUCCCUUCUCCAGGUAAGUAGUGCGUAGCACAUCAAUGACUAAUAGGUCGACUGACGUUCAGUCUGUAAGCCGGAAAAGGGUCUGCUCAGACCAUGUGGCUCAACCGAAUGUCAAAUGGCUGAUAUUCAAAGGAGACAAGCCCCUUUUCGCCGGUAAUCCUCAUGUCAGAAUUGAAGAAAUUCAAUGAAGCGCGGGAAAUCGGCGAGAGUAACUAUGACCCUCUUAAGGUAGCCUUUUGCCCUCAGUCUCAAUUUGUCAGGGCUGUCAGUGUAGAUGAAGGG
rnacentral:lncRNA from 1 species